rnacentral:rRNA from 1 species
GAUGAACGCUGGCGGCGUGCCUAAUACAUGCAAGUCGAGCGAACAGACGAUGAGCUUGCUCCUCUGACGUUAGCGGCGGACGGGUGAGUAACACGUGGAUCACCUACCUAUCAGACUGGUAUAACUUCGGGAAACCGGAGCUAAUACCGGAUAAUCUAUUGAACCGCAUGGUUCAAUAGUGAAAGACGGUUUUGCUGUCACUUAUAGAUGGAUCCCGGCCGCAUUAGCUAGUUGGUGAGGUCACGGCUUACCAAGGCAACGCUGCGUGGCCGACCUGAGAGGGGGAUCGGCGACCCGAGAAGGGAGACAGGGUCCAGAGGACUAAGGUAGGCACCAGAAGGGAAUCUUCCGCAACGGGCGAAAGCUUGACGGAACAACGCCGAGUGAGUGAUGAAGGUGCUCGGAUCGGAAAGCCCUGUUAUUAGGGAAGAACAAAUGUCGAAUGAAACAUGGACGUAGUGACGGUACCGAAUCAGAAAGCCACGGCUAACUACGUG